UUUCAAAUACUCUCUCUUGUGCUUCAAGUCUUGCGGCUAACUCCUCCCGAUGCCUAUAAAUGACAAAAGACAACAAAGUUGCAUCGCAAUGAGACGAAAACAGCCAAGAUAACAAGGUACAAGGGAAACAAUUUGAAAUAGAGAAGUACAUUAUUAAAUGUCAAGGCAAGCAUGACGAUGGGCUAAUGAAAUAGUAAAGCCAAGAAUAACUUAUGAUGUUUUAAAAUAUGCAUAACAAACAGCUUGAUUACAGGAAGCAUCAGCAAAAGGAUAUCAAGUCAAUAACCCAGGUUAAAAGAUGCACUCCUUAAUUGAAAUUCCACUCACUGCAAUGAGUGCACUAUGCACAGAGAAGCAAGCAAAAAGAAACAACAAGAACAGAAAGGGAAAUAAGAUAAUUACCUGUCAUUCGCAUCUCUUGCCUCACUAUCCUUUUGUUCAAUUCUUUCAUCUAGAACUCGGAUUCGAGCUGAUGAAGUAGAGCUCCCAUACCUCCCGGAUCUAGAUGCAUACCCCAUGCUGGAAAGGAAGGUGCUAUGUGCGCUUUCUUCCUUUAGAACUUCAGCCACAAUUGCUGUAUCGGAUACUGGCUGCCC
rnacentral:lncRNA from 1 species